rnacentral:rRNA from 1 species
ACGGCCUACGGGAGGCAGCAGUGGGGAAUAAUGCACAAUGGGGGAAACCCUGAUGCAGCGACGCCGCGUGAGUGAAGAAGUAUUUCGGUAUGUAAAGCUCUAUCAGCAGGGAAGAAAAAUGACGGUACCUGAGUAAGAAGCACCGGCUAAAUACGUGCCAGCAGCCGCGGUAAUACGUAUGGUGCAAGCGUUAUCCGGAUUUACUGGGUGUAAAGGGAGCGCAGGCGGUGCGGCAAGUCAGAUGUGAAAGCACGGGGCCCAACCCCGGUACUGCAUUUGAAACUGUCCGGCUGGAGUGCAGGAGG